rnacentral:lncRNA from 1 species
CAGUCAAUUGUAAGGAGCACAGUUCUGGAACCACAGCUUCUGGGGAAGGAGGAGUCCUAUCUGUCGUAUCUACCAGCAACCCUCGACGUUAUCGAGAGAGAGUCUAGGAAUUCAAUUUGUCAUUGGAAGAAUCUUCUGGAAGGAGAGAGGACAGUAGACAAGAGGCCCCGGUUUUCCUGUCAGAGAUCUCUGAGAAUAUUUGAGGGCCCCCUGCACAAGCGAUAUGAGACUGCCUGCCUUGUGUGAGCCUUGGAUGAGCCCUGCAGCUCCUUCGAGAUGCUCCUUGGAUAUUCCUGAUGGAGAAGACCAACCCCGAGGAAGCUUGGUCCUGCUUGCGAUGAGCUUGCUGUGCUUUCACGGACACCCUUCGUUUCUUCUACCAGUUUUCAGUGCCAGGGUGCGCUUGAAAGGAGAGCUGAUGCCAGGGCUAUAGCCUUCCCCAGCCAGAGCAUGUGGGCCAAACCCUUUCUGGAUGGCUAGGCAGUGGGGAGAAGCCAUGAGAUGGUUGAGAAGUAGUCACAACUCCCCUGGGGACAGACUGGUUUUCAGGGUUACAUCCAUUCAAAAACACCCCCCGGAAUUCAGGCUUGUGAAAGACAAGCUAACUUGACCCUGUUCCUUUGUUCUCACUGAGGUCCUGUCCCUGGCAUCCCCUUCCUCCUGUGGACACCACUGAGGUGCAGACACUACCCCGAUGGGGCUUCCCGUCCUGCUGUUCGGCUCUGGAAGAGACUUGAUUCCUUUUCUUUUUGUGCUGGUGGAGAUCACACACAAAAGGGAUGAUGCCGGUGGCGGACAGGAAGCCCAGCUCCUGCCGCCUGGAUGACUCUUCCCUUGGUGGGGACCAAUCCUGGAUGGAAUCAGUUCAAGAUGGAUGCCAGCUUCAUACAAGAGCCCUAUCAGGAUUGGCCUGAGAGAGAAGUGCUAUCAGCUACUAAAAGUGAAUACUAAAUGGCCUAUCUAUGUCAGAGGGAAGCCCAAAGCCCAGGAAGAAAUGAUGGACCAGAAACAACAGGACAUGCUCGUAAGGAAGACUUGCUGCAUGGUGGAUGGCCCAGAGACGGCGGGGCUCACAGAUGGUCACGUUUAGUGCUUGCAGAUUGGUAAUGCCUGUGCCCUUGGCUUUGUUUAUUCUGGUCAACCAGUUGUCAGUGCUGCCAUCGAGGGCUUUCUGGACAGCAUGGCACCUUCCGUAAGGAGACCUUGGCUUCAGUAGCUAGUCCAGAGAUGAGACAGUGGGAGUGGAGGAUCACCUGGGAUCAUGUAGAGCUCAAUGAACCUUCUCUUGAUUCAUAUGAGGAUGCUAGUAGCCUUGGUUGGGCUUUUCUGCAGUGGGACUUUUAUAGUCCCCUCAGGACCUUGAUGUGACUAACCAUAUGUGCACCAUUGAGAAAUGCAAGUCCCCAUUCACAUACCCCAGGGUCUAUAUACCUGCAGAGGACUUCUGACCUACAGCAAGUGGGCUCCCUUCUCAUCUUGAAAACCUUCCAGUGUGAACUCUAGAACCAAGGAAGACAGAGAAAGGGGACAAUGUCAGCAUCGUUGCAAGGGAGUACCAAAUGCUACCUCUAAGGAUUUCCUGGACAUGAUGGCAACUUGCAGAAAGAUGGCGGUUCAGUCAAGCUGGUAGAGAAGCCAAGUAUGGAUGUUUGGCCACGGACAGUGUGCUUGAGCUAGCUGUAAGUCACCUGGUCGGGUUACCUGAGCAUCUGAUCCACCUGUAGGCCUCUCAUCAGUGGGCCGUGCCAACCUUGGUGAGGCAGCUGUGGCUCUGCCCCCAAGUAUCAGCUUACAAGACUUUGAAAAGAGGUCAUCUUCCGGAAGAGAUGUUGGUGCCAGCACCAUUCAGGGUGUGUGACUGGUUGACCAGAGGGGCGUGCACUCUGUUCACCCUGUGGGCCACCUAGUCACCAACCCUCAGCAUCAAUUCCACUCAAAGAAGACUUUCCAGAGAUCCUACCAAGUUUGGGGAUAUGUCAAUGGACUUGAUGGCUGUGCCUGCUCAGUGGACCAGGAUGAACUGUGGUCUUAGGGGUGUAUGUUUACAUAAGAUGCCAUGAGGCAUCCGUGGUAGCUGCUGCAUCACUGUCACAGCCUCCUUGAAAUGUUGACUUCAGAUGUGGACAUGAUGUUGACUUCCCAUGAGGGACCUGAAGUCCCUUCUCUCCUGGGAGAGUCUGUGAGAUGAUACCAACCUCUAGAAGCAGGCAUGGUUGUCCCGACAUCGCCACACUACCACAGGAGCUUCCAGAAUACAUUCUCUUCAUGGAAACUGUGGAACCACGCCCCCUCUGGUCCAGGAGGACUAACCAGAUUCAAGGCUAUCACCAUCCCCCUUCAGGACAGUGGAAGCAGCCACCUUUUCGAGAGAGUCGAUGUGUUCUUCACCAGUGUUCUUCGCCAGUGAUCAUGUGUGAUACUUGGAGAGAGGCUGGCCGUGAUGAAUUCGAUUCAUCUAAACGAGUCAUACACGGCUCUCCUCUCUUCUAGUGUCAAACUCUGCCUCAGAGGUCUUCUCAAGCCACUACUGUUCCCAAGGAUGCCUAAUUGCAAUGCCAGCUUCUGGGGUGAACAUGGACCCACUGUCAUCGGGCAAGGUCUAGGAUGGACAUGGAGACCCACCAUCUGGGAGAUUCCAGAGUGGACGUGAACCCACCAUCAUCAGAGAGCUUCAUGGAGUAUUCAGAAGCUGGCGGGUGUCACCUGGAGGAUGUGACUGGGUACCAGUGCCAGAGCACGUGCCCACUGAGCAGUCUUCUUCACUUUCCUCGAUCCUCAUGAAACAUUCCGGGAUCUUUACCUCAAAGGACUCCAGAGGCUACAUCAUUGUCUUGGAACUGGUCAGUGGCUGGAGCUCUCUCCAGGACAAGUGCUUGGAGGAAGAACCUGGACAAGCUUCCCUCCCCAUACUGUUGACUGGAUCUUGUAGCUACCGUUAGCCACCAUCAUCGCCAUUGUGUGCCUCUUAGGAGCAUUUCCAGGAGGUGAUGCCAGCUGGGGAAAGAGCCUCUGUCCCACAGCCGUCGGUGCCCGCUGCAGCCUGCGCCCAGGAUGUCACAGCCUCAGCUCAACACCUCUGCUGGACAGCUUCAGGUGGUGAUUCCAGCUCCAGGGUUGCUGCGGUCAACACUGGGUACUUGAGGAGAGGUUGUCUGUGAUGAGUUCGCUUUAUUAAUGACGAAUAUAACACAGAUGGCCUGUUUUCAAUACCACCUGCCACUCCGGUCACUCGGCAGUACAUACCAGGUGUCACACCACUGCCCGGCAGGUGACAACGCUGAAUUGGUCCUCAGGAGCGGAUGUUCAAGGAACCCUGCCUAUGCACCAUGCUAGCUGCCAGUCCUAGGUUGGGACAUUCCACUGGGGACAUCCAUGGGAGAGCUAUGGCCAUUAACAAGUCCUGAGCCCUGACCUGAAGCCAUCAGUGGCCUAGCUGCUCUACCUGACUUUGUGGCCUCCCUUCCUGGAUCUCUCGCUUACGACAACCGACAACAAAGAUGUUUGACUCCAGAAGAUGCUCCCCGCGGCCCACCUGAGAGGACUGUCCACACCCCACCCCACUGCGCCCUGUGCCAUCUACCUCUGAGUCCCCAACUUCUCACCCAUGUUUCAACUCCCACCCCAGAGCCUUGUAUUCCAGAUCUGAGCAGCCCUUGCUUAGGAACCUGAGGUGGGGGGUGGGUAGGCAGACCCAGGGGACUGAGCAGGGAGGGGAAGGAGGGGUUUCUGCUCUUGGCUUUCAAAGUUCUCAGUGUGUGUAGCCCUUUGAAUAAUAAACAUAUGUCAUAUAAUGUAAA